rnacentral:rRNA from 1 species
AUUGAACGCUGGCGGCAUGCCUUACACAUGCAAGUCGAACGGUAACGGGCCUUCGGGUGCCGACGAGUGGCGAACGGGUGAGUAAUACAUCGGAACGUGCCCGAUCGUGGGGGAUAACGAGGCGAAAGCUUUGCUAAUACCGCACACGAUCUACGGAUGAAAUCAGGGGACCGCAAGGCCUUGCGCGGACGGAGCGGCCGAUGGCAGAUUAGGUAGUUGGUGGGAUAAAAGCUUACCAAGCCGACGAUCUGUAGCUGGUCUGAGAGGAUGAUCAGCCACACUGGGACUGAGACACGGCCCAGACUACUACGGGAGGCAGCAGUGGGGAAUUUUAGACAAUGGGCGCAAGCCUGAUCCAGCCAUGCCGCGUCCAGGAUGAAGGCGUUCGGGUUGUAAACUGCUUUUGUAGGGAACGAAAAGCCUUCGUUUAAUACAGGAGGGUCAUGACGGUACCGUAAGAAUAAGCACCGGCUAACUACGUG